rnacentral:rRNA from 1 species
CAGUAGCCACGGUAAUACAGAGGGUGCAAGCGUUAAUCGGAAUUACUGGGCGUAAAGCGCGCGUAUGUGGUUUGUUAAGUUGGAUGUGAAAGCCCCGGGCUCAACCUGGGAACUGCAUCCAAAACUGGCAAGCUAGAGUACGGUAGAGGGUGGUGGAAUUUCCUGUGUAGCGGUGAAAUGCGUAGAUAUAGGAAGGAACACCAGUGGCGAAGGCGACCACCUGGACUGAUACUGACACUGAGGUGCGAAAGCGUGGGGAGCAAACAGGAUUAGAUACCCCCGUAGUCCCUGUCUCUUAUAC